UACAGAGGAUGCAAGCGUUAUCCGGAAUGAUUGGGCGUAAAGCGUCUGUAGGUGGCUUUUUAAGUCCGCCGUCAAAUCUCAGGGCUCAACUCUGGACAGGCGGUGGAAACUACCAAGCUGGAGUACGGUAGGGGCAGAGGGAAUUUCCGGUGGAGCGGUGAAAUGCGUAGAUAUCGUGAGGAAGACCGGUGGCGAAGGCGGAUCUCUGGACAGUUCCUGACGCUGAGGCGCGAAGGCCAGGGGAGCAAAGCGGG
rnacentral:rRNA from 1 species